UCCAGACUCCUACGGGAGGCAGCAGUGAGGAAUAUUGGUCAAUGGGCGCGAGCCUGAACCAGCCAAGUAGCGUGAAGGAUGACUGCCCUACGGGUUGUAAACUUCUUUUAUAAAGGAAUAAAGUGAGGCACGUGUGCCUUUUUGUAUGUACUUUAUGAAUAAGGAUCGGCUAACUCCGUGCCAGUAGCCGCGGUAAUACGGAGGAUCCAAGCGUUAUCCGGAUUUAUUGGGUUUAAAGGGUGCGUAGGCGGAUUGAUAAGUUAGAGGUGAAAUGUCCGAGCUCAACUCGGGAACUGCCUCUAAUACUGUUGAUCUAGAGAGUAGAUGCGGUAGGCGGAAUGUAUGGUGUAGCGGUGAAAUGCUUAGAUAUUGCGCAGAACUCCGAUUGCGAAGGCAGCAUACCGGCGGCGAUCUGACGCUGAGGCACGAAAGCGUGGGUAUCGAACAGGAUUAGAUACCCGGGUAGA
rnacentral:rRNA from 1 species